UGCCCCAUAAUCUACAAAAUAUAUCCAAACCUUCUACUUAUGGUAUUAAACAUUGUGGUACAAUUUCAGAACAAUUGAAAUACUUAUACACAACUUUUUGUCCUGACACUAGAUAAAUGCUUGUUUUGGGCCCCUUUGGGCCCCUUAUUCCUAAACCUUAUGGACCAUAACCCCCAAAAAUCAAUCCCAAGCUUCCUUUUGUGGUUAUAAACAUUGUGUAAAAAUUU
rnacentral:lncRNA from 1 species